GCCCAUACAUCUUUUCACGCUCAGAUUGCAUGCAACGACUAGCUUGUAAUGUUUCAUCGUGUAGCACAAAACAAGGGAUUCAUUCCCAGUCAAAUAUCUCCUAGCGGCACGUGUCGCUCUAUCUGGGGAAGUAAAUUCAGUACGGACGUCUAUUUAUACUCGGACUAUGUCCCCUUGUUCACAUCCUUUCUUUCUCUACUGAGCUUUGCAAAUUUCUUGCGUGUCGUUCCCCAUCUCGCCCUCUAUCCCUCUCUCUUCUACUCGAAACCCACCAUUUCUGCCCUUCACAUGGCUCCAAAGAAUACUUCUAGUGCCGCUUCCUAGAGUUUGCGUUCUUCAUGCUUGUUAAAAUCUUUCAAGACCCCUGGGUGUUUAGAUACCCUAGAGGUCCACAGCAAAUCUCAAUACUUCAAAUGGUAUGAUUGGAGGUCGGAUGUGACUUUUGGAAUUUGAGGUCGUUGACAUCGUCUUAUGAAGUGCCGAACUCAAUCUUGCUUGAGGUUCUAGCGGCUCAUUAGGGGGCCGUACAUUAGAAGGGUUACGCCACAAGAUUGGCGCUAUUUUCCUAGAUGUUCUAGAAUGGGCUACAGAUUCCCUUCUGUUGGUCAGUUUGUGACAUGCUAGACUAUCUCUAUCUAGCUCCCUCACAACCCCACCCUAACGCGUGAAGGAUUCUUGUUUGUUGUUAUGUUGUUUGGUGUAAGGGUUUUGGAAGAUACCAAGAGGGAUUACCCUGACCUUACGGCAAGGGAGUUCCUCCUCACCCACCUGCUACUGAGGCUCAAAGGUAACUUGUGCAACUUCCAGUCCCGUCGAGGACAAAUGGUCGCCCACCUAGAGCCUCAAUUCUCCUGCAAUAAAGACUGAACUAAACAGUUUUUCUUCGUGUCCAGCAAGGGAUGGGAGUUCCUCACUCCAAAAGUUGGUCAAUAGUAGUUUCCAGUCUACACCGUUUGGGGGGUUGUUUCGGAGGAUAGAGAGGUCCAGCAGGCCCCUUUAAGAUGAGGCUCAGUUGGUUACCGUAUAUUCUUGGAUGAAUUCACACUCGAAGGAGAUCCAUAUAGACCUUUACUGUCUGAAGGUAGUGUACGCUAGUAUCUGGCCCCCUCAGCUUGCACUUGCUUUGAGGGUCUACGUAUUCCAAUGCAGUCCCCUAUGCUUGAAGAUCAUAAGACCCUAGUCCACCGUUGGAAGGGAAGGAGAAGAAACCUCGGGUUGAGAAAUCUAGCAGACUUGCCCUAGAUACCUCCCCUAGGUUAGUCCUUGCAAGGAGGGCUGCCCGCUCUAGGCCUAUCACGAGGGCCAUUAGGGUGGUCUUCUUCUGGUGUAGUGAGACACCCCAUGGGGGGCAACGUGCUUCUGGUUUGACGGGAGCUCCUUAGCCUAGUCUCCCCUCUCUAGUGUCCUCUUUGGUUCCAUCUCCUACUUUUCCUAACAAUGUGGAGAAGAUCAAGAUCCUCCAUCGUGGUGAGGAAGAGGUGGAGAUGACUUUCUUCUUCACUUUCUUGGACUUGCCACUGAGGGACUCCCACAUCUUCACUCCUCUAGCUGAAGUGGACUUAGAGGUGAUCCCUUUUCUUGAAACCGACCAACAAAUUGGCAUGGAUAUGUGGCUUCCAAAUGUUGGAGCACUGUCUCCACCAAGUGGCAGUAGGGGCGACCACACUUUUGACAUAGGUGGAUCCAAGUCACCCUUUGGUUCCCGACAUCAGUGAGGACAAGAUCUCCCUUCAUUAAUUUGAUGAGCCCUGGGGACAUUUUGGUUGGAGGUGCUUUUGGAGGCAGUCCUUCUCUCCAUGGUUAGGACUUUGGGCGAUCACCAGUCCAACACCAAGUAGCCAUUGGGAGACUUUGCGCUAGAAGCAUGAGCUGGAGCGACCCUUGCCAACAGAGCCAAAGGCCAAGGAGGUUGCUCCUGAAGGGGGUGAGGUACCUUUGGCCUCGACACAACCACCUCCACGAUCAACUCCAACCCACAGUAAGAAACCAGAAUCCACCGAACCAACCCACCACAUAACCACCUCCACAAUCAACUCCAUACCAUGAACCUCCUCCACACUGCCACCAUGCUACACUAUGAAGCUCUCUUCGCCAAAACAGAGCACUGUCAUAGGUCCUCUCCUCCACGCCAAAACUCCUCCCUACCACACAGCCACCUCCACACCGUGAGCCUCCUCCACUUUGCCACCAUCCUGCAUCGUGAAGCCCCUGUUUCUCUCUUUGCUAAAACAGAGGAUUGUAUAGGUCCUCUUGUAACAGCCCGCUAGAAAUUUAAUUGUGAAAUUUCUAUUAGCUUUAGGAACUUCGUGAAGACCCCUAUAAGUUUGCACGAAUCAAUUAAUCGUAUAGGUUUUAGUCUAACUACAUAGUCAGUGUUAUUAUUUACUAUGGUAUCUGAAAUGUGUUUUUGAUUA